rnacentral:rRNA from 1 species
UGGGGAAUAUUGGACAAUGGGCGCAAGCCUGAUCCAGCAAUGCCGCGUGUGUGAAGAAGGCCUUCGGGUUGUAAAGCACUUUUAUCAGGAGCGAAACGCUGUCGGCUAAUACCCGGCGGAACUGACGGUACCUGAGGAAUAAGCACCGGCUAACUUCGUGCCAGCAGCCGCGGUAAUACGAAGGGUGCAAGCGUUAAUCGGAAUUACUGGGCGUAAAGCGUGCGUAGGCGGUUUCUUAAGUCUGCUGUGAAAUCCCCGGGCUCAGCCUGGGAAUGGCAGUGGAUACUGGGAGGCUAGAGUGUGUCAGAGGGUGGUGGAAUUCCCGGUGUAGCGGUGAAAUGCGUAGAGAUCGGGAGGAACAUCAGUGGCGAAGGCGGCCACCUGGGACAACACUGACGCUGAGGCACGAAAGCGUGGGGAGCAAACAGGAUUAGAUACCCUGGUACGUCCACGCCCUAAACGAUGCGAACUGGAUGUUGGUCUCAACUCGGAGAUCAGUGUCGAAGCUAACGCGUUAAGUUCGCCGCCUGGGGAGUACGGUCGCAAGACUGAAACUCAAAUGAAUUGAC